rnacentral:hammerhead_ribozyme from 1 species
GUUCAGAUGACAAGUCUGAAAUAGGAUGAAACGCACGUCCUGGAU